rfam:Triticum aestivum genome assembly, contig: Triticum_aestivum_CS42_TGACv1_scaffold_095002_2AL
UAAGUACUUCCUCCGUUCCGAAUUACUAGUCGCAGAAAUGAAUGUAUCUAGAACUAAAAAAAUAGUUCUAGAUACAUUCAUUUCUGCGACAAGUAGUUCUAGAUACAUUCAUUUCUACAACAAGUAAUUCGGAACGGAGGGAGUACUUU